rnacentral:rRNA from 1 species
AGCAGCCGCGGUAAUUCCAGCUCCAAUAGCGUAUAUUAAAGUUGUUGCAGUUAAAAAGCUCGUAGUUGAAUUUCGGGAUCAAUAUAUUGGUCAUGCUUAGGUAUGUACUGGUAUUAUUGAUUUCUCCCUUCUGAAGAACCAUAAUGUUAUUAAUUUGAUGUCAUGGGGAAUCAGGACUGUUACUUUGAAAAAUUAGAGUGUUUAAAGCAGGCUUUCGCUUGAAUACAUUAGCAUGGAAUAAUGAAAUAGGACGUUUGAUUCUAUUUUGUUGGUUUCUAGGAUCGACGUAAUGAUUAAUAGGGAUAGUUGGGGCAUUAGUAUUCAAUUGUCAGAGGUGAAAUUCUUGGAUUUAUUGAAGACUAACUACUGCGAAAGCAUUUGCCAAGGAUGUUUUACAUUAAUCAAGAACGAAAGUUAGGGGAUCGAAGACGAUCAGAUACCGUCGUAGUCUUAACCAAUAAACUAUGCCGACUAGGGAUCGGAUGAUGUUAAUUUUAU